rnacentral:rRNA from 1 species
AACGAACGCUGGCGGCAGGCUUAACACAUGCAAGUCGAACGCAUCCUUCGGGGUGAGUGGCAGACGGGUGAGUAACGCGUGGGAACGUGCCCUUCAGUUCGGGAUAACCCAGGGAAACUUGGGCUAAUACCGGAUACGCGCGAGAGCAGAAAGAUUUAUCGCUGAAGGAUCGGCCCGCGUCUGAUUAGCUAGUUGGUGGGGUAAUGGCCCACCAAGGCGACGAUCAGUAGCUGGUCUGAGAGGAUGAUCAGCCACAUUGGGACUGAGACACGGCCCAAACUCCUACGGGAGGCAGCAGUGGGGAAUAUUGGACAAUGGGCGCAAUCCUGAUCCAGCCAUGCCGCGUGAGUGAUGAAGGCCUUAGGGUUGUAAAGCUCUUUCGUCCGGGACGAUAAUGACGGUGCCGGAAGAGGAAGCCCCGGCUAACUUCGUGCCAGCAGCCGCCGUAA